UUGUCCACGUUGGCCGUGGACAGGCGGCUGCACUUGUCUGUGAUAACCUUGUGCUGAUCGCAUGUCCCCGUGACGGCGACAACGCAUUCGGAUGUCUGCCCUAUCAACUUUAGAUGCUAUUUUCCACGCCUACCAUGGUGACCACAGGUAACGGGAAAAUCAGGGUUUGAUUCCAGAAAGGGAGCCUGAGAAAUGGCUACCACAUGCAAGGAAGGCAGCAGGCGCGCAAAUUACCCACUCCCGAUGCGGGGAGGUAGUGACGACAAAUAACAAUACACUACUCUUUCGAGGCCCUGUAAUUGUAAUGAGUCCACUUUAAAUCCUUUAACUUGGAUCAAUUGGAGGGCAAGUCUGGUGCAGGGCUCCUGACCCGUGCGUGUUGCAACUGAAACUCCACUAUCACCAGCUGCUG